AGUGAACGCUGGCGGUAGGCCUAACACAUGCAAGUCGAACAGCAGCACAGUAAGAGCUUGCUCUUACGGGUGGCGAGUGGCGGACGGGUGAGGAAUACAUCGGAAUCUACUUUUUCGUGGGGGAUAACGUAGGGAAACUUACGCUAAUACCGCAUACGACCUACGGGUGAAAGCAGGGGAUCUUCGGACCUUGCGCGAUUGAAUGAGCCGAUGUCGGAUUAGCUAGUUGGCGGGGUAAAGGCCCACCAAGGCGACGAUCCGUAGCUGGUCUGAGAGGAUGAUCAGCCUCACUGGAACUGAGACACGGUCCAGACUCCUACGGGAGGCAGCAGUGGGGAAUAUUGGACAAUGGGCGCAAGCCUGAUCCAGCCAUACCGCGUGGGUGAAGAAGGCCUUCGGGUUGUAAAGCCCUUUUGUUGGGAAAGAAAAGCAGCAGGUUAAUACCCCGCUGUUCUGACGGUACCCAAAGAAUAAGCACCGGCUAACUUCGUG
rnacentral:rRNA from 1 species